rnacentral:rRNA from 1 species
UACGAAGGGGGCUAGCGUUGUUCGGAAUUACUGGGCGUAAAGCGCGCGCAGGCGGUUUUCCAAGUCAGUGGUGAAAGCCCGGAGCUCAACUCCGGAACUGCCAUUGAAACUGUUAAACUUGAGGACGAGAGAGGUGAGUGGAAUUCCCAGUGUAGAGGUGAAAUUCGUAGAUAUUGGGAAGAACACCAGUGGCGGAGGCGGCUCACUGGCUCGUAUCUGACGCUCAGGCGCGAUAGCGUGGGGAUCAAACAGG